AAUAACUCGCCGAAAGCGUGCUAAUGCCGAUAAGACCUCGGGAGCCUCGGCUCCUGCGGGAAAAGGUGGCCUCUGUAUACGAAGCUAUCACUUCAGGAUGAGCCCGCGGCCCAUCAGCUCGUUGCGGGUAAUGGCCCACCAAGGCUACGACGGUAGCUGGUCUGAGAGGACGAUCAGCCACACUGGAACUGAGACACGGUCCAGACUCCUACGGGAGGCAGCAGUGGGGAAUCUUGCGCAAUGGGCGAAAGCCUGACGCAGCAACGCCGCGUGUGUGAUGAAGGUCUUCGGAUCGUAAAGCACUGUCGCGAGGGACGAAUAAGGGGCGGGCUAACAUCCCGUUCCGAUGACGGUACCUCGAGAGGAAGCACCGGCUAACUCUGUGCCAGCAGCCGCGGUAA
rnacentral:rRNA from 1 species